rnacentral:rRNA from 1 species
AGCAGCCGCGGUAAUUCCAGCUCCAAUAGCGUAUAUUAAAGUUGUUGCAGUUAAAAAGCUCGUAGUUGAAUUUCGGGAUCAAUAUUUCGGUCAUGCCGUUGGUAUGCACUGUUAUCAUUGAUUUCUCACCUUCUAAAGAACCGUAAUGCCAUUAAUUUGGUGUUACGGGGAAUUAGGACUGUUACCUUGAAAAAAUUAGAGUGUUUAAAGCAGGCUCACGCUUGAAUACAUUAGCAUGGAAUAAUGAAAUAGGACAUCCGAUUCUAUUUUGUUGGUUUCUAGGAUCGAUGUAAUGAUUAAUAGGGAUAGUUGGGGGCAUUAGUAUUCAAUUGUCAGAGGUGAAAUUCUUGGAUUUAUUGAAGACUAACUACUGCGAAAGCAUUUGCCAAGGAUGUUUUCAUUAAUCAAGAACGAAAGUUAGGGGAUCGAAGACGAUCAGAUACCGUCGUAGUCUUAACCAUAAACUAUGCCGACUAGGGAUCGGACGAAGUUAAUUUUAUAAUGACGCGUUCGGCACC